AGUAAAAGUCGUAACAAGGUUUCCGUAGGUGAACCUGCGGAAGGAUCAUUAUCGAGUUUUGAAAGGAGUUGUUGCUGGCCCUAACCGGGCAUGUGCACGCUCUGCUCAUCCACUCUCAACCUCUGUGCACUUAUUGUAGGUCAGUGAAAGGCUUUGCACCUCGGUGCUUGGCUGGAAGCCUUCCUAUGUUUACCACAAACGAUUUAGUUAUAGAAUGUCUUCUGCGUAUAACGCAUUAUAUACAACUUUCAGCAACGGAUCUCUUGGCUCUCGCAUCGAUGAAGAACGCAGCGAAAUGCGGUAAGUAAUGUGAAUUGCAGAAUUCAGUGAAUCAUCGAAUCUUUGAACGCACCUUGCGCUCCUUGGUAUUCCGAGGAGCAUGCCUGUUUGAGUCUCGUGGAAUUCUCAACCUUCGACUUUGUUGUCGAGGGCUUGGACUUGGAGGUCGUGCCGGCUCUCGUAGUCGGCUCCUCUGAAAUGCAUCAGUGCGAACGUUACCAGCCGCUUCAGCGCGAUAAUUAUUUGCGCUGCUGUGGAGGGUAUGUCAGUGUUCAUGCUUCGAACCGUCUUCGGACAACAUUUCAUCUCUGAGCUCAAAUCAGGUAGGACUACCCGCUGAACUUAAGCAUAUCAAUAAGCGGAGGA
rnacentral:rRNA from 1 species